GGGGUUGUGCCUCAAUGGUAGAGGGCUCACCUAGCACGUGCAGGAUCCUGAGUUCAAUCCUCAGCACCA
rnacentral:tRNA from 1 species